rnacentral:rRNA from 1 species
AUUGAACGCUGGCGGCAUGCUUUACGCAUGCAAGUCGAACGGUAACAGGGUGCUUGCACCGCUGACGAGUGGCGAACGGGUGAGUAAUGCGUCGGAACGUGCCGAGUAGUGGGGGAUAACGCAGCGAAAGUUGUGCUAAUACCGCAUACGUACUGAGGUAGAAAGUGGGGGACCUUCGGGCCUCGCGUUAUUCGAGCGGCCGACGUCUGAUUAGCUAGUAGGUGAGGUAAAGGCUCACCUAGGCGACGAUCAGUAGCGGGUCUGAGAGGAUGAUCCGCCACACUGGGACUGAGACACGGCCCAGACUCCUACGGGAGGCAGCAGUGGGGAAUUUUGGACAAUGGGCGAAAGCCUGAUCCAGCCAUGCCGCGUGUCUGAAGAAGGCCUUCGGGUUGUAAAGGACUUUUGUCAGGGAGGAAAUCCCUAGUGCUAAUAACACUGGGGGAUGACAGUACCUGAAGAAUAAGCACCGGCUAACUACGUGCCAGCCGCCGCUGUAACAC